rnacentral:rRNA from 1 species
AUGGUCCCGCUUGGGCGCCUUCCGGCGCUGCCGCUAGCGCGUGGCUCCACGCGCCGCCGCCUCCUCGCCGCCGGGGCCUCUGCCGCCUCACCGCUCCCAUGGCCGGGCCUUCACACCUGGCGCCGGGCCCCUCCCAGCGACCUCCGCUCGUGGGGCCCCAACGGCCCCUGCGUCCCGAACACGGACAAGGCGGGCGCGCCAGAAGCCGGCGCCGGAGUCGGCGACGGCUCGUCCUUGGCCGAGAUGGGCGCCCUCGUGCUGUCCACCGCCGACCCCCUCGCCAAGGCGCACCUCACCCACGCCGCCUUCUCCCGGUGGGCGGCAGGCGGGCUCCCCGUGGGCCUCGCCCGGGCCCCGGACCACCCCGCCAGGCCGGAAAAGCCCCUCGCGGUAAAUGCUCCAUCCACCUUGUUGCUCUCUUCGUCGAGGCAUUUCAUCGAGCAGGUUGGGUGUGUGGUGCUCUUGCUGCUGCAGGUGACUCAGAAGGAGGUCCCCACGCACAAGGCGAUGGGGGUACCGCUAAACGCGUACAUGCUCCACAACCUGGCGCAUGUCGAGCUCAAUGCGAUCGACCUUGCUUGGGACACUGUGGUGCGGUUCUCGCCGCUCCGGGACACCCUGGGAGAUGGCUUCUUUGCGCGUGUGGCUGACGAUGAGAGCCGGCAUUUUCGGUGGUAUUCACAGCGGCUUGCCGAGCUUGGCUUCAGAUAUGGUGAUAUGCCUGUCCACAAUCUUCUGUGGAGGGAGUGUGCAAAAUCCUCAAGUGAUGUUUCUGCACGGAUGGCAGUUAUACCUCUAGUACAGGAAGCUAGAGGCCUUGAUGCUGGACCGAGACUAGUCCAAAAGUUAAUUGGCUUUGCGGACCAUAGAUCUGCAGACAUUGUGGCAAAAGUAGCAGAGGAAGAGCUUGCACAUGUUUCUGUAGGUUUAUAUUGGUUUCUGAAAGUGUGCGAAAUGAUGGGCCGUGUCCCUGGUGCUGCUUUUAGAGAUCUGAUAAAGGAGCAUGAUGUUGUAAUGAGGGGUCCAUUUAACUAUCAGUCUCGUGAUGAAGCUGGUAUACCUCGAGAAUGGUAUGAUGAGAUGCUUAAACCUGAAGUUGCAAGCAACCUUUCAGAGGUGCAUGAUAGGCUAGCAUGUGUUAUUGAGAUGGAGAAAGAGAAUGCUAAUUUGAAUGGCUAA